ensembl:lncRNA
GAGUAGGUGAUAGUUUAAUUUGCACACAGCGGGAGGAAACGCGCGCACACACUCGCAUUUUUUUUGUGGCAGAAUUUUCAUGAAUGCGCUUAAAAUAUGAGUUGGUUGGGAACUCAGCUAAUGUUAACUAAGCAAGGCUCAGAAGCAGGCUAGCGGUAGGUUGUAUUUUUCAUUGUCUCUUCAGGAAGGCCCUCUGUGCCAGUGGUUGCUUGGAGACAGGAUAAACUUUCGGUCGGGAGUGAAACAUAGCUCAUGCAAAUAUCCUUAGCAGACUAUUCUUACAACAGUACCGGCUUGUCUUCAACUUGCUAACUUUGCUUAAACAUUUACAGACAAAAUGGGGACGUUGACUCUUCCAUCGAUAAACAAAGACGAUCCUCGCUUCAUUCUGCAAGUGGAGAACAAAAUGAAGAACAUUUUUGUCACGCAGCUACAAGGGACGCGAGAGGUGGAGGAUGCCAACACCAAUCUCAUCCCUGUAAUAACAGAGCCCAGGAGCAGGAUUUUGGAGACCGGAGUAAACACCAUGCAGAGAACCCUUGUAUUAAAGAAACAAGUUGAACUGGAUGAAUUAGACAGCAAGUUUGCACACAAACGACAAGAGUUCAAAGUUCGAAUGGAGGCCCUGGAACACAGGAGGGCUGACCUGGAGCAGAAACAGAAGCAGACCAAAGAUAAGGCAUCAAAGUUUGAGAAGUUUGUGGAGGAGAAUGAGCUUAAACACAGACGAGCUCUGAAGAAGUUCCAGGUGGAGCAGAGGCUUAAUGAUCUGAAACACAAAGAACUCACGGGGCUCGUGGAAGAGUUGGAAACACUUCAGACCAGACAGGAGGAGCUCAGGGGGCUGGUGUCAAAACACAAAAUGUUUGAAGAUUACCUAAUGAAGAUUUUGGAUGUACUCCCAGAAAGUUACUAUGGGAACGGAGCAGACUCCCUGGUCAUGUCCAUCCUCAGGAGGCAUGAGACCCUGUCCAUCACUCGUCAAGAUCUCGUCGGGCAACUGGGUUCCCUCGCAGAGGAGCUGGAACUAGGCCAGAGGAACCUGGACGUUCUGAAGCAGGAGCACAACACAAAUAAACUGAUGAUCAAUAAGGAGUUAUCAGAACUGCAGACGAAGUGGGAUCGAGUCACAGAGAGGGCCAAACUGCUGGAGAUGACCACACAAAUCCAUCAAGGCCAAUCUCGAGACCAGGUAGAGGAGGUAGGAAGCCUCCUGAUGGCGGUCAGGAACCUCGGUGAACAGUGCUACCUAUCACACUACGGUCCUCUUGAGGAGAUGGAUGUGCUAGAUAUGAUAGAUAUGAUCAAGGAGCACUUGCUGGACAUAGCAGACAUGGAGGAAAGAGCCACACUCCUCGGAGAAUCAGAUUCUGUGGCAAUUAGUAGCUUUGCAGUUGGCAGAGAGAAAGGAUCACAAACAAUGAAAAAAAUUAAAAUAGUUCAGGAGCUCCAAGAAAGUCAUGCUGACAACUGGACUGCUAAGCACAUUCGUAAUGCCAAAGGAACAUUUAAAUGAAACAUUGACACAUUGUGAGGAUGUUGGAGCCGAAAUGUUCAGAUGCUACUCUUUUUUUCAAUAUAUAGCACCACAGAAAACCCAAAAGGGUACCAGUAGUCAGGAACAUUGUAGUACUUUAAGAAUCAAGUUUGGAAAGUAACACUGGAUGGCACCAAAAUUUAAAAUGGAAUCACAGUGCUUGCAAUUGCAUUCUGUCUUCGAGUCUUCUAUCUGCUAUUGUUUGUCUUCUAGUCUUCGAUCUGCUAUUGUUUGUCUUCUAGUCUUCUAUCUGCUAUUGUUUGUCUUACAUUUACAUUUACAUUUAGUCAUUUAGCAGACACUUUUGUCCAAAGCGACAUACAAGGGAGAGAACAGUCAAGCUAAGAGCAAUAAAAAACAUGGUGUAACAAUAAAUAACA